GAUGAAGAACGUAGCGAAAUGCGAUAAGUAAUGUGAAUUGCAUAAUUCAGUGAAUCAUCGAAUCUUUGAACGCACAUUGCGCCCGGUAGUAUUCUGCCGGGCAUGCCUGUUCGAGCGUCAUUUCAACCAUCAAGCCCCAGCGCUUGUGUUGGGGGCCUGCGGCUGCCGCAGCCCCCUAAAAGCAGUGGCGGGCUCGCUAUCACACCGAGUGCAGUAGUUCAUCUUCUCUCCGGUCUUGUGAGGCGGGUUCCGGCCGUGAAACACCCCACUACAUUCAAGGUUGACCUCGGAUCAGGUAGGAAUACCCGCUGAACUUAAGCAUAUCAAUAAGCGGAGGA
rnacentral:misc_RNA from 1 species